rnacentral:rRNA from 1 species
UACAGGGGGGGCAAGUAUUAUUCUACAUGACUGGGCGUAAAGGAUAUGUAGGUGGUUUUUUAAAUGUUAAAGGAAAUUCCAUAUUUAAUUUAUGGGCUUUUUUAAUAUAUUGUAAAACUUUGAGUUUAUUGAAGAUAAUAGAACCCACUAAAGUAACAGUGAAAUGUUUGGAGAUUGGGGGGAAUUCCGAAUGGCGAAAGCAGUUAUCUUAUUAAAACUGACACUGAAAUAUGAAGGUGUGGGUAGCAAACAGG